rnacentral:lncRNA from 10 species
CAGUGGCUUAAUAAUUUAUUAUUACCUCUCAUAGUUUAGUGUGAUAACUAGGCUAAGUUGAGCAUGUCUUCUUGGAGUCUUUCCUGCAGUGAUUGGCUGGGGGCUUUCCUGGGACUGUCAGCUAUAGUGCCUUCUCAUGGCCUCUCCAUGUGACUUGGGCUUCUCAUAACAAGAGGCCUCAGGGUAGUCAGCCUUCUUUCAUGGUGACUGUCUUCUAAGAGGCAAGAAGCAGAAAGAGCCAGAUGAACUAAGGGUUACAUCCGGAAAUGGAUGCUUUUGGUCAAAGGACACCACAUAAAAUCAACAGAAAUAAAUCACAAAACAAACUCCAAGUGAGCCCUGUGAAGGAGGGACACCUUCAAAGAAGAAAAAGUAUAAUGACUACCAGCGUAUGGGCCCUAACAACACAGAGACAAAUAUAAUCUUGUACAUUUUAGCACUCAAUAAAUGUCAUGGUAAUGGAAUAGGGAGGAGAGCUACAGAUGUUCAAUUUUUCCAAAGCAGAGAUAUUCAAGAGCUAUACUGUGAGAACUCAGCCAGAAUAAAAAGUAAUUGUUUGGGAACUUGUUGGGGAACAUUAAUCAGAGACAACUGAGGCACAAGUCUGUAAAGCUCCCUAGAAAACACAGAAAUUGAACUGGGAUUUGUUUGCACAAGAGAGCAGGUUUUGAGGAUAUCACAAAUUAUCUUUAGAAAGACUUAAAGCUUUAUGUUUCCCCUUUACCCUUCAACAAUUCUUGGAAAACUGUCUCCUUUCAGAGGUAGAGGUGUUAUUUAUUCCUGGAUUCUCAGUGGAAAAUAAAUGGUAUUAGUAGGCAUGGUGAAGAAAGAAGCAUAUGGCUUCAAGAUUACUUGAUUGCCACACUGUGAUGUCAGUGAUCUUGCCAUAGUUUUUUGGUUUUGAUAGCUAGGUUUAUCCCAUAGCUCCUCAAAUCCAUGCCUAGAUUGUGACCAUUCUUAACCAGGUCAUGUAGCUAGCACAUGGUAAAGAAUUAUUUUGUGUCAUCUAGAAUGUAAAAUUUGAACUAUUCUGUAGAGGUUUCCAGGAAACGUUUUAAGAUAAAUUUAAGAAAGAAGUCUCUAAGGAGUCUUAGAGUUUUAUGUAGUUGACAUGACCUGUCUAGUGAAAUAGUGGACUCCAUGUUAUCAGAGUUAUUCAUGAAGAAGCCGGAAUAUCUACUUACCAGGAAGUGACAGAAAUUUCUUGCAUUUAGUAAGAAGGUUGUUAGAGGACACCUAAGGCUUUGUCAAAUCUUGCUUCCUAAUUGUGGGGCUACAUGGUGGUGCUUAGAGUGGGAUAAGUGGAAAGAGGCCUAGUGCUUACUUAAAAGAGCUGUGGUAUAGACUGAUUGCUCACACCAACAAAAUAAACAAACCUACGCAAUGUUUAUAAAACUAUGUAGUUCAGAAUUCAAGGAAGUUGUCCAAAUUUCAAGACCCAGACAGUUAAGCUCAGGAGCUUAACUUACAAAGCCAAGAAAGAAUUUAAAAAUCACGUCAAAUCCAGAAACAGGAGGAAGAAAAAAAGCUGGUGUUAUCAUUUACAGACAAAUUCUAACAGAGGAGCAGGCCAUAAAAGCUUGGGAAAAAACAUUUUAAAGUGUCCAGCUGCCUCUGGUUUAUGUGAAGAAAGAAGAUGAAAAAUGAGAAGGCAGGAUCGGUAACCACUUUACCUACAAUGGUUAGAGAAGGCGAGAAUUGGAAUCUGAAUGCUAAGAAGAGGCAGCUAAGAGAAGAUCUGAAAAUCAAACAUUUCUAACAGAAGGCACAGAAAGGGUUCCCAGGAAUCUCAAGAAGUAUCAAAGAACUGAGACUUACCAGAUCACCACACCCAGAUAAUGAGUUGCCGACCCCUCAUUCAUCGUGACUGCUUCCUUGCCCCUUCCCAGUUCCUGCUUUCUUAUACAUUGUUACGUUUCUUCCCUGCUGUCUAAACUCUUACUUUUGGUGGGUCAGGAGAUGGAUUAGAGACUGAUCUCCCAUCUCCUGGGCUGCAGCACCCGAUUAAAGCCUUCUUCCUUGGCAAUACUCGUCAUUUCAGUGACUGGCUUCCUGUUCAGCGAGAAGCAGGAACUAGACCAAACAUGUUUUGGUAACACAAGGACCACUUCGUGUAGGGUUAUGUGGAGUUUGUUAAGAAAUUUGGAUUUUAUUUUGUUUCUAAAGAAAGCCACAGACUUUUUGACAUGAACAACUAUCAGUGAGAAGAUAGUAUAGACAGGAGGAAACAAACUCUUUUUACCUCAGACCAUCAUGGGACAGACAGAGACAGCUGAAACAAGAGACUCAGUCAUAUUUCCAGGAGAAUAAAUGCGGUUAGGAUUUUGAAUUAUAUGAUCAGUGUAUCUCUUGGCUAUGGGAACAACUCAGGCUUCAUGAGGGCACUGCCAUGAAUAUAAGGGGACAAUGGAAUCUUUAUUCACAGAAGUCAAAGAUCCAGAGGGGCAAGUAGAAAGUUGUAAAACUUAGGCAUAGGGACCAAAGAUGAUAUAUGACCCCACAGAAUAAGUUAAUUUUGGAGAGAACAAAAAGAGCCAUGAAUCUAGGCAGAAUGAUUCCUUGAUGGCUAUCUCAGAAAUCUAGGAUCCUGAGUCAGAUUGAUUCUGAGAAAGAACAAGUGGAGAGAGUAGGGGUCUACCAAGCAAUGACAUUUUGAAGUCCUCAUAAGUUUGCGAUGCUUACAGCUCUUCUGUAGUUGCUGCCCUUGGCUAGUAACUUGGAUAUGCUGAACACCAAAUGUGGGAAAAUCUUGGAGGUGUGGGAAGCUAUAAAUAAAGACAUUGCAAUGGAACAGGAGGUAAAAAGUUGCAUUACAAAAGCCUGUUUUUAAAAAAAUGAAACUUACUAAACUGCAUCUGGAAAUUACACUGUGUUUGUAAGUUAUACAACCAAAUGAAUAUUCCUUCACAAGACUCACCUUGGAAGCCAGACAUUAAUUUCGAAAAAAUGCUUUUUUUUCUCAUGGCAAUUUCAGAGCUCUUUUACAAGACAUGCAGGUGCAUACUUUUGUGACCAAACUUGUCUGAUCUCUUCAGUAACAUUCCUCUUUGAUCUGUGACUGAAGGCUGGUUCUCAAGUCAAAUCGACUCUAAAGAACGAGUAUUUAUCACCGCUUAUAAGUUUUCACAAAAUAUUCUUUUAAUUUUGAAGACAUGUUCAAAAUUAUUUUGAGUGUCACACCAUCAUUAUAAAGCAAGAAAUUCCUGAAGUAACUACAGGAUUUUUCUGCUUUCAUUUAUAAUUAAUUCUUAAAACUUUCUACGAAAAACUCCACAUAAAAAGUCAAAUGAUAAACUAUUCCUUAUAAACUAUUUUAAACAUAUUCAAAAAUAUGUUUAAGCACUGCAUAUAUAUUUGUGUUUACCAUUUAUACUUAUUUAUUUUCUUUCAUAAUUAAGCAGACAGUUGGAUGACAUAAAUCUAAAGGGUAGACAAUUAAAGCUAAGAAUUUCUUCUGUGCCAGUUGUAUUGUUUUAUCAUUUGCAUCACAUUUUCAUUUGUCCAUGUUUUAGAACUUUCUAAGUAAAGAGAGUGGAAAGUAAUAAAAUAUUUAAAUAAUUGCACAAACAGUGCCAUCUAGGUAAAAAUGUCACAUUACACAGUAAGUCUGGAAAUAGGUUGUUCAGAGCUAGUAGGUUAGUGCCAAUUAUUCUUCCCCUCCAUCCUACCACGUAGUUCUUACCCUCAGAAUUUCCUCAUAGACAAGGAUGGCUGCUGAAACUUUAGCUCUCAUAUCUGAGUUGCAGAUCAAGUAGAAGAAGAAAGCUAAGAGAAUUAAAAAUGUGUUCCUUCUAGAAGUAGAUUCUCUAUAAACAGUUUUCCAGAAGUCUCAUACAUGUCCAUUUGUAUCUUGUUGGCCAGAACAUAGUCAUAUGACCACAAGCUGAUAAGGAGCUCAGUUAAAAAUUGAUUUCUCUUCUUAAGGAGGACAGUGAGGGGUCAUGAAUGCUGAAGAGACAACUAGAACUCUCUGCCAAGAUUGAGUUAAUUUCCUUAGAAUCCUACUCGUGUGGCAGUCUCCAUCUUGUUUCCUCAGAUCAUCUAGACAGGACCAAUAAUUCUCUCCAUUACAUUAUAACUUCUCUCAUAUUGAACAAAACCUGAGUACAAUUUAGGACAUCAACAUUUACUUUUGUAAUACUAUGAAAUUUGAAGACUGACUCUUCAACAGUUAUUUGAUUACAUAGAUUACUCAUGUUUAUUGUAAAAGUUUAUCACUAAAGGUCCUCUUCAUAUAACCAAACAUCUACUUCACUAGAAGGAACACUGUAGAGGAGGCAUUUGAAAAUGAUGCUUUGAGUUAAAGUUGGUUAACUCUCCGUCAAACUUGUUGGCUGUUAUACUUGUGUUUAAUAUAUAUUUCCACUGGAGAAAUUUCAAAACACUGUAAUAGUUAAAAUUGAAGUAACUUGAGAAACACAAAUCCCACCCCCCUCCUCCCUUUGUUUCUUUACCGAGCAAAGCUCCUUUUGGACAAUUUCUCUGACGUAUUAAUAUCUUUCAAAUCCAUGUCUUGGCUAUUGUGAUUAAUGCUGCAAUAAACAUGGGAGUGCAUAUA